AGGGCACACCAGGGGUGGAGCUUGUGGCUUAAUUUGAAUCAACACGGGAAAACUUACCAGGACCAGAUAUUUUUAAUGACUGAUCAGGCUAUAGGUCUUUCAGGAUAUGAUUUUUGGUGGUGCAUGGCCGUUGGUGGUGCGUGGGUUGACCUGUCUAGCGUUGAUUCAGAUAACGAGCGAGAUUAUCACCAAUUAAAUAUAUAAAUAUUUUUAUUAAAAUAAUUUAUUUUCUAAUUGGGACUCCCUGCGUCUAAGCAGGAGGAAGAUGGUAGCA
rnacentral:rRNA from 1 species